rnacentral:rRNA from 1 species
GAGCUGAGGGUAGGGGUGAAAGGCUAAUCAAACUUGGAGAUAGCUCGUACUCCCCGAAAUGCAUUUAGGUGCAGCCUUGCGGGUUACUGAUGUGAGGUAGAGCGACUGAUAAGAUGCGAGGGCUUCACCGCCUAUCAAGUCUUGACAAACUCCGAAUGCGCAUCAGUUCUACCGCAGGAGUGAGGGCAUGGGUGCUAAGGUCCGUGCCCGAGAGGAGAAGAAUCCGGACCACCUGCUAAGGUCCCGAAAUGACAGCUAAGUUAAACUAACGAAGUCUGACUGCUAAGACAGCUAGGAUGUUGGCUUGGAAGCAGCCAUUCAUUUAAAGAGUGCGUAACAGCUCACUAGUCGAGGAGUCGGGCGUGGAUAAUAAUCGGGUAUCAAGUUGUCUACCGAAGCAGUGGGAUCAUUUAUAUGAUCGGUAGGGGAGCAUUCCAGUCAGCGUCGAAGGCGUACCGUGAGGUAUUCUGGAGCGUCUGGAAAAGCAAAUGUAGGUAUAAGUAACGAUAAAGGGGGCGGGAAACCCCCUCGCCGAAAGACUAAGGUUUCCUGAUCAACGCUAAUCGGAUCAGGGUCAGUCGGGUCCUAAGGCUCAGCCGAACGGCGAUGCCGAUGGCAGAAACGGUUAAUAUUCCGUUACUACCUUCAGGAGUGACGUGGAGACGCAGUAGUGACAGUGCCGCCAUCUGACGGAAUAGAUGGUUGAAGGGUGUAGGAGUCGAUCAUGGCAGGCAAAUCCACCAUGAGAUCCGAACCUGAUAGUAUGCCGCGUCCUUCGGGACAAGGCAAUAGUGCGCGUAAGCAUGCUGCCGAGAAAAUCCGCUAAACUUAAUCCUGCAGGUACCCGUACCGCAAACGGACACACGUAGUCGGGAUGAAUAUUCUAAGGCGCUUGAGUGAUUCACGGUUAAGGAACUAGGCAAACUGACCCUGUAACUUCGGGAUAAAGGGUCCCUACCCUUUUAUGGGAGGGCGCAGAGAAUCGGUCCAGGCAACUGUUUAACAAAAACACAGGGCUGUGCCAAAUCGAAAGAUCCAGUAUACAGCCUGACACCUGCCCGGUGCUGGAAGGUUAAGAGGAGAUGUCAUCGAUAAGAGAAGCGUUGAAUUGAAGCCCCAGUAAACGGCGGCCGUAACUAUAACGGUCCUAAGGUAGCGAAAUUCCUUGUCGGGUAAGUUCCGACCUGCACGAAUGGUGUAAUGAUCCGGACGCUGUCUCAACCGUGAGCUCAGUGAAAUUGUAGUAUCGGUGAAGAUGCCGAUUACCCGCGAUGGGACGAAAAGACCCCGUGAACCUUUACUAUAGCUUAUCAUUGAAUCUGGGCACGUGAUGUGUAGGAUAGGUCGGAGGCUUUGAAGCAGGUACGCCAGUAUUUGUGGAGCCGCUGUUGAAAUACGACCCUUUAUUUGUUUGGAUUCUAACCCGUGGAACGGGGACAUUGAUUGGUGGGUAGUUUGACUGGGGUGGUCGCCUCCAAAAGCGUAACGGAGGCUUCUAAAGGUGCCCUCCGGCCGAUUGGUAACCGGCCUUAGAGUGUAAUGGCAUAAGGGCGCUUGACUGGGAGACUGACAAGUCGAUCAGGUAGGAAACUAGAGCAUAGUGAUCCGGUGUUUCCGUAUGGAAGGGACAUCGCUCAAAGGAUAAAAGGUACUCCGGGGAUAACAGGCUGAUCCCUCCCAAGAGCUCAUAUCGACGGAGUGGUUUGGCACCUCGAUGUCGGCUCGUCACAUCCUGGGGCUGGAGAAGGUCCCAAGGGUUGGGCUGUUCGCCCAUUAAAGUGGCACGCGAGCUGGGUUCAGAACGUCGUGAGACAGUUCGGUCUCUAUCUAUCGUGGGCGCAUGAAAUUUGCGUGGCUCUGACACUAGUACGAGAGGACCGUGUUGGACAGACCUCUGGUUUGCCGGUUGUGCCGCCAGGUGCAUUGCCGGGUAUCUAAGUCUGGAUCGGAUAAGUGCUGAAAGCAUCUAAGUACGAAGCCGGCCACAAGAUUAGAUUUCUCAGGGUCGUUGUAGACUACGACGUUGAUAGGAUGCAGGUGUAAAGAUGGAGACAUCAAAGCCGAGCAUUACUAAUUGCCCGUCCACUUUCCUUA